AGUGCCCUUCCCGGAGCGUGCCCUCGCCGCUGAGCUCCCCUGAACAGCAGCUGCAGCAGCCAUGGCCCCGCCCUGGGUGCCCGCCAUGGGCUUCAUGCUGGCGCCCAGCCUGGGGUGCUUCGUGGGCUCCCGCUUUGUCCACGGCGAGGGUCUCCGCUGGUACGCCGGCCUGCAGAAGCCCUCGUGGCACCCGCCCCACUGGGUGCUGGGCCCUGUCUGGGGCACGCUCUACUCGGCCAUGGGGUAGGUGGGCGUGCACUGGCCUGGGGAUGAGCCUGGCCCUUUGCAAGGGGAGGCCUGGCCCAGGACAGAGGGUCUUCUCCAGGCAGGCCAUGGACCAUGGCAUGGUUUCCCCAGCCCCAUUUGGCAAGCCAGGGUGGGGAAGCUGUGGGCCUGUCAAUUGCACAACUGAACUUUCUCCUCCUGGGCCCCUGGGGGGAUGGGUCAGAUGCUCACCCCACCCUGGCAUCCCCGCCAUGUUCACAGCUCCAGGCA
rnacentral:sRNA from 1 species